GACAGAGGCCUCAAGCGUUAGGCGGAAUCACUGGGCUUAAAGCGUGUGUAGGCGGAUCGUUAGGUACCUUGUGAAAUCCCACGGCUCACCCGUGGAACUGCUGGGUAUACUGGCGGUCUUGGGCCAACUAGGGGCAGCUGGAACAAGCGGUGGAGCGGUGAAAUGCGUAGAUAUCGCUUGGAACGCCGAAGGUGAAAACAGGCUGCUGGGGUUGUGCCGACGCUGAGACACGAAGCCAGGGGAGCAAACGGG
rnacentral:rRNA from 1 species